GCCAUCUGACUUGCACACUGAUCUAGGCCAAUGCUCUACCAAUACAYACAAAGAAGUAUUUAACAACAAAGAAUAAAUCACUUCAGAUGAAUCUUUUAUAGUAGCUGAUUGAAGCAGCUAAAUGGAUUAUUUAACCUGAGUUACAAGUCACAUGUAUCUCAUCUUCAUCACUUCUCAAGGUACUGCAGUUUUACUCAGAAAAAGGCACAGAAAUACGCUGCAG